GGAAAGCCUAUUUAAGUUAUCCUAUUUGAACGAGGAAAUAUUUAAUUUCUUUAAAUAUUUCUUUUCUUUUUCUUUUUCUUCUUUUCUUACCCGUGCCCUAAGCUUCCCUGACGUCGUCUCCUCCCCAACCAAUGCCGGCCCUCUUCAUCUUCCCCAAACCCGAUCGUCUUCCCCCAACCCGACGCGUACAAAACCCUUCCCCCACUCAUUUGCGCCGACUCAUCCCCUUCCUCUCCCUCACGCUGAGCCCUCUCCUCUCCCGAUCUCCGUCAAACCCAAACGCCGAGUGUCCUCUGUCGUUGCCUCCUCACCGCGGAGAUCCCAAUCGCGCUAGUAGUCACAGCCGAUCGAGAUCUCUCCACCGUCACAUCCUCAGCCGACCACCGUCCAGUGUCGAGCCUUCCUCUCCCGAUGCUCUCGGUUUCUUCUCGCCUCACACCCCUGAUCCGUGCCCUAGCUCUCCCUAUCUCUUCCUCUGCACUGAUCUGGAUCAGGGAAUCCUUGUGCAGGCUGGAAUACUUGCAGGUAUUGGCGAUACGAAUAGAACCUAGAGAUCAGUGGAAGGGCUUUGAAAUUGUUGUGGCGAUCUUGCUUCAGCUGAGGAUUUGGAAGGAGGUUGUUAAGGAUGACGCUGUCA